CCUCCCUAUACGAUUUAGAACUUAUUUGUUCGUAGUGUCCACACAGAUGAUUGUUAGUUAGCUAAGCCACUGGCUUACCUAAUUAAUAUGCUCUUUAAAAAUUUGGAAAAGCUGAUAAUAAAAUUCGUAUAGAUAACAGUUGUUAUUUAUACAGAGUUUUCAAAAGUAAAAAAAUGCCAUUGAUUAUUCAGACGAAUAAUGAAUUGGUAUCUACUUUAGUAUUCAAUAUUAACUUCUGGCGAAGUUAAACUGUCACUAACAAAGACCCGUUUGGGUUGUAUGGUUAAGUGACUAAGCGUACACGGUGGAUGCA
rnacentral:misc_RNA from 1 species